rnacentral:rRNA from 1 species
GAAUAUUGGUCAAUGGAUGGAAGUCUGAACCAGCCAUGCCGCGUGCAGGAAGACGGCCUUCUGGGUUGUAAACUGCUUUUGCCAGGGGCUAAAAAGCUCAUGCGUGAGAAAUUGAAAGUACCUGGUGAAUAGGCCACGGCUAACUACGUGCCAGCAGCCGCGGUAAUACGUAGGUGGCAAGCGUUGUCCGGAUUUAUUGGGUUUAAAGGGUGCGUAGGCGGCUUUGUAAGUCAGUGGUGAAAUAUGGCAGCUCAACUGUCAGGGUGCCAUUGAUACUGCGGAGCUUGAGUACAGAUGAGGUAGGCGGAAUUGACGGUGUAGCGGUGAAAUGCUUAGAUAUCGUCAAGAACACCGAUAGCGAAGGCAGCUUACUAGGCUGUAACUGACGCUGAGGCACGAAAGUGUGGGGAUCAAACAGGA